GGAUGCUGGCUGCUUGCCGCAGGAGCUUGCAGAAGUUACGUCAUUUAGUCGCCAUUAAAAUCCAUGAGACCAUCUGGGAGACUAGAAUUCCACUGAGGACACUUUGGGAAACACUGAUCUACAACUUACUUCUAGAACUCCAGGACU